GGCUCAUGCAGCAGAUCCUCAGCCUGAAGCUCGUGCCGCGGGUGGGCAACGGGACCCUGUGCCCCAACUCCACUUCGCUCUGCUCCUUCCCAGAGAUGUGGUAUGGUGUGUUCCUGUGGGCACUUGUGUCUUCUGUCUUCUUUCAUGUCCCUGCUGGACUCCUGGCCCUCUUCACCCUCAGACAUCACAAAUAUGGUAGGUUCAUGUCUGUAGGCAUCCUGAUGAUGGGCAUCGUGGGACCAAUUUCUGCUGGAGUCUUGACAAGUGCAGCGAUUGCUGGGGUUUACCGAGCUGCAGGGAAGGAGAUGAUCCCCUUCGAAGCCCUCACCCUGGGCACUGGACAGACAUUCUGUGUAGUGGUGGUCUCUUUUUUGCGGGUUUUGGCUACCCUAUAGCAUAUGUCCGUUCACUGUGAUGUCACACCUGCAUUUUAUACUCCUCAAAAGGAAGGGGCAGUGUCAUGGUUUCUUCAUUCCUCAAAUGGAAGCAACUUGGGGGCACAAAGAAUGGGAAGAACACCACAGCUGUUUCUUCAGUUGGAAGCUGCAAUCAAAGACCCUUGUAGACAGCUCUCGUUCUCAGCCAAACCAAGCUCCUUGGCUUUCUUUUCUUGUGGCCACUUAAGUUUUAUAUGCAAUCUUCACCUAAGCCAACAAUGCCUCAAGUUUGCAUCUUUCGAACAAGAAUUUGCAUCAUUAUUUGCAAAAAUGCAACAUUGCUGUUUCACAGAAACAGUGGACAAUGCUGUUUAAUUUGAAGGGAACACAGUAAAGCCAAGUUUGUUUGGGUGGUGUGUCGCUCUGAGAACAAACUGGUGGACUCUUAACAGGAAGAACUGAAGUAUAAUUCAAAGUAACAGCUCCAAUUCCACUGUCAAAAGUAGGUGACUACUGUCAAUGUGACAUUUUAUGGAUAACUAUCUUGACCUCUGAUUAUUUAAUAUAUUUUUAGAGAUGUGAAUUUAUUAUUUGAUCAAAAUAAGCUAGCUAAUUGAGAUGUCUUUUCUGUCCUUCCUUCCUUCCUUCCUUCCUUCCUUCCUUCCUUUCUUUCUUUCUUUUUCUUUUUUAAGACAUGAGGUCUUGCUUUGCUACCCAGGCUGACCCAAACUCCUGGGCUCAAGUGGUCCUCCUGCCCCAGCUUCCUGAGUAGCUAGGACAAUAGGCACCACCAUCAUGCCUAAUUAAGGCUCUUUUUCCAAAGCAUAUGCAUGAUACCUUUACCUGUCACCUUUAACGCUAUCCAUUUGAUUUACUUUCUCUGGAAAUACAGAGACUUUCUUAAGUGGCUUGAGUUGAACUUCAAAACCAGAUAGCAUAUACUCUUUGGACGUUCAGGCACAAAUAAGACACUUGCAAGAGUGUUACAGUUUUUCUUGCUGAUUUUAGUUUAUUUGAUGACUCCAAAACUUGUAGACUGCUUCUGAAAUGAGUUAGUGGUUAUUGGUUUCCUUCUGUGUUUACCUGUCAGUGGCUAAUCAGCCUACUUUGCAGUAUUUGAGUAUCAACUCCCAGAAAGUGCCUACAACUUCCUUUUCAUAUACAACUCCUCUGGCCUUUUUAUUUUUAUUCAAGAGAAUUUAUAUCCUUAAAGAGACAUAGUUUUUAACUUAUUUUUAGCUAUUUUAAUUUUUAACUCGACUGCCUAACUUUGGUUUUCAUUAGAAAGGCCUGCAAACUGUGACCUUCAGAAGGGAAAGGGGUGUAAAAAGGGGCUGUGAAUUGGGAAAAGAUCCUUUCAGAUAGAGAAAUUGGAACGUUGUACCCUGCAAUCUGGGAGAUGACAGCAUCAUCUACGGAAGGGUCUACUGAAGGACGCCUUGGAGUGCUUGCUAACCAUUCCUUGGGAUAUAAUUUCACACAGUAAGCACAUAGAUGAAUGAGUGGCGGACUUUUCCCCCCUAACUAAUAACUUCUGAACAUAUUCAUCCAUGAUUAAAAUGUUAAAUUAUUUUAACAAUUUAACCAAGACACAAAAGUUAGAGUGUGUUUGUUUCCAUCUGUUUCUUAUGUUUUAUCUGCUCUUUAAAAACAAAAAACAAAAACUUGAACUGUAAAAUAUAUCUUCAAAUUACUGAGUGUUUCAUCUAUCUCAAUGCCUGUGAAGCAUUCUUUUGUGAAUAAAUGUAUACUCUACAGACUGAGUGCUUUCAGGGAGAAACCAGUUGAGUGCUAAACAAAGAAUGCUUUCCACUUUGAUCCCUGUUUGUCUUCUUCCUCUUGUCUCUUGUCUCAAAUGCAGAUUUAUUAAUUUGCCAUGAUUUGUGUUCAACACAUCACCUUAUACAAUUUCUUCAGUAGUUUUCUCUAGAUAAGGACUUUCUUGGACCCUGAUUCCUGAAUUUAUAUUUCUGCUUCUCACCCCCUCUUUUUAAAUUCUGAGAUAGGGAGGCAACUCCCAACCAAAAAGUUGAUCUCUUGAUUCCUUGGUGAAUUUGGGGGUAAAAAUUAAGUUCAUGUACAAAAGUGCAAUGAUUAUUAUGUGAAUAAUCUGUGUCCCUGGGCUGUUAACUUCCUUUGGAGCAAGAUACUCCUUAGGACUUAAUGCUGGGAGUAAUGAGAAUCAGUUCGUGCAAAUAAUGGCAUCCUUCCCGUGUCCUUUAGGUUUUUAAAUUGUAUGUUAGCUUUUGAUUCCAAUGUCCUGACUGCUCUGGUUUUCAGUAAGUCCUUGUGACACUGCAGGGCAUGCCAAACUUCCCUAAGGAACUGUUUCCUGGAAUGUGAAGCCCUGCGUCAUUAGUGGUCCAUGUGCAGAAGGUUUUGUGAAGUUGUAUUUCUUUCUUGUGUACUAUGUAAGGCUGGUUAUGACCAAAAUCAGCUCAACUUUUUAUAUUAGGUUAUUGCACUUAAUUCCUAUAGUCCAAGUGAUCAAAUCUUUGUACAUUAGAAACUUACUUAAAUUUUAUUUUUCUACUGACAUUUCUAAUGCUAGUAUAAAUGUUUGUCAAUAAAGAAUUACUUUGAAUUCUA